GACGAACGCUGGCGGCGUGCCUAAUACAUGCAAGUCGAGCGGUAAGGGUUUGUACUUGUACCGAGUUGAUGAGCCGCGAACGGGUGUGUCACGCGUGUGACAUCUGCCUUUGAGCGGGGGACAACCUGUGGAAACGAAUGCUAAUCCCGCAUAAAAACUUUAAACACAAGUUGUAAGUUUAAAAUAUGCAGUUGCAUCACUCAAACAUGAUCCCGCGUUGUAUUAGCUAGUUGGUGAGGUAAAGGCUCACCGAGGCGAGGAUACAUAGCCGAAAUGAUAGGGUGAUCGGCCAGAUUGGGAGUGAGACACGGCACAAACGCAUAGGGAAGGCAGCAGUAGGGAAUCGGGGGCAAUGGAUGAAAGUCUGAGCGAGAAAGGCGGCGUGAGUGAAGAAGGUCUUCGGAUCGUAAAACUCUGUUGGUAGGGAAGAACGUUGGUGAGAGUGGAAAGAACAGCAAGUGACGGUAACUAGUCAGAAAGGGACGGCUAACUACGUG
rnacentral:rRNA from 1 species